AUGCGCGCGGCUGUCUCGCCGGUGGCUGCUUCGCGUUCGUCGGUAGGUUGCGGCGCUGUUGCUGCCCAUAUGGGCUCCCAGUGGCCGGGGCUGGCUGGGCUCCCAGGAGCCGGCCUCCCCGCCUCCUCCAACAUCGCCUGGAGAGGAGCUCCUCUGUGCUUCCUAGCCGCCUCCUCCAGCAGGCCAGCCAGAGCUGCCGCCCCUCUCUUUCAGCUUUUCUCUUCAGCUUCUUCUUCUUCUUCUUCUCUAAUCUCCCUUCUCCUUCUUCUCUCUCUAAUCUCUGCUUUCUCCAGAGAAGGGAGUUGCCACAUGGAACACAACCAGAACGCCUCGCCUUGGAGCUCGCUGCCUCCGGUAACCUCUCUGUCGGCCUCGUGCUCCUCUGCCUCGAGCGCCGCCUCCUACCCGUCGUCCAUCUCCUGGAGGUGCCUGUCAGGCAGGGGUUGA
rnacentral:rRNA from 1 species